GGCAACCGGUUAGAACCAAAGGUCUUUGCUCGCUCUCUCUCUCUCUCUCUCUCUCUCUCUCUCCCCCUCCCUCUCCCUCUCUGCCUAUCGCUCUCUCUGGCAUUUGUGUCCAUCUCUACCUACCAUGGCCGCUACCUCAGCCUCCUCAUCAGCCAAAUCUUUCCUGCAAACCCUAAGGCGUUUCUUCAAGAAGCCAUGGGAGAUCACUGGCCCAUGCGCUGACCCUGAGUACAGGUCCGCUCUGCCCGGCGCGCUCGAGUAUCGUGUGUUCUGCCCCGCCACUGUCAAGGCCAAAGCCAUCAUUCCCACGUCCAACCCCGAGACCGUCUACGACAUCAAAUACUACACCCGUGACCAGCGCCGCAACCGCCCUCCUAUCCGACGCACAAUCCUCAAGAAGGCCGACGUCGAGAAGAUGAUGAAAGAGACAACUUUUGAUGUUUCCGACUUCCCCAGAGCUUAUCUCACGGCUCAGGUCGAGGAGGACUACAAUGCGCGCGGCGGCGGGUAUCAGAAAUAGUUUGUUUAUGGGUUCGAGUCCAAAGAAAUAGCUUCUCUGCAUAUAAGUGGGGGCUUCUACACUGUAUGGCAAGAGGACUUGCACUAGUCAUUGCAGAAUAAUUCCUGGUACCAACUGUUGUGGAUCUUGCUUUGAACUCAUCUUGCUACCAUAAAAUGUAAGACUUAUUCAUUGGUAGUCAUAUAUUCUGUAAUGAUUUCUUCACUCUUGGUUGUAUUUAUUAUACAUCCAAAUGCUACAAAUGGGUGGUUGGAACUAGGUUGAUGCAUUUGAUGCUGUUGAUUUGAAAGCAAUAUUUCCUAUGCUUGUAGCUGAUUUUUAGUAUCAGUUGAUCGAGAUUUAAGGUGUUGAUUA